rnacentral:rRNA from 1 species
UACAGAGGUCCCAAGCGUUGUUCGGAUUCACUGGGCGUAAAGGGUGCGUAGGCGGUCGGGUAAGUCUGAUGUGAAAUCUCACAGCUUAACUGUGAAACUGCAUUGGAUACUAUCCGGCUCGAGGAAUGGAGGGGAAACUGGAAUACUUGGUGUAGCAGUGAAAUGCGUAGAUAUCAAGUGGAACACCAGUGGCGAAGGCGAGUCUCUGGACAUUUCCUGACGCUGAGGCACGAAAGCCAGGGGAGCAAACGGG